rnacentral:tRNA from 1 species
ACUUAUGUAGUUUAAUUUAAAAUAUCGAUUUGUGGUGUCGAGGUUACAGUUAUAUGUCUUAGGUU